rfam:Larimichthys crocea isolate SSNF unplaced genomic scaffold scaffold423, whole genome shotgun sequence.
GGCUCUGUGGCGCAAUGGAUAGCGCAUUGGACUUCUAGAUAUGUACAAGGGAAGUAAUUCAAAGGUUGUGGGUUCGAGUCCCACCAGAGUCG